AGGCCGUGAUUGCAAAACAGAACUUCAGAAUCUCCCCAAGUGGGCAAACCUCCCAAAACAUUAGGGUUUGUGCCUGCUGAGAAAUUAGCAGAAAGCCAUGCAGUCCAUCCAUCAUUGUUGGUGUUUUUGUUGGUUUUUUUUCUCCUCACAUUGUAUAUUGAAACCCAUAAUUAAGACUAAUCUUUUAAAUGCCUUUGUAGAAGAGGAACACAGCAGGCACAGAAUGGACUUUUUAUUAAAAUUAACAAAAGAAAUGAAAUUUGUACAUAACAUAUAAUUGCUGAGCAUAGACUUAAUAAUUAAAAUUACUUCUGUAAGCCUGUGCUUAUGGAUAUUGAGUAAAUAAAAUUGCUGUUUGCUGGUAGAUCGAUAUUUCUGUUCACAACAAAAAUUUAUAAUUUAGGAUAAACAGUUCUUCCAUUAUAGGCUAUGAAAUUCAGUGGAAUAUGUCCAGCAUGUUAACAGCAACAGAAACAAUUAAGAAUCACCAGCAGUUGUCGAGAACUGUAUCUUUAUAGUUAUACCUGGGCAGAAGAAAUUCUCAAGUAGAGGGUACUAAUCAAAUACUACGGUGUAUUAGCAGUGUUACUGUUUAUAGUGGCCACCUUUGGGGACUUAGCUACACCCUUUUUUUAAGCAUGGGCUUAUCUGCUGUCCUGGAUCUGACUAGUGACCUAUGCUGAAUGAAUCAGAGCACAUGCCAGUGCAUUUUAUAACCGUGAAAAUGAUGCUCUUUACAGUUAUCAAGGGAAUGAUGCUAUAAAUAAGCACUGAUUUGGGGGUUUUUAGCCUCUCCAAUCUAACAUUUAACAGUCCAGUUUUUCAUAACCCAUAACACUGCUUUGGGUUCUUAUUGAUAUUGAUCAUUGCAGAUUGUGUAUUAAUAUUCUGGAAGAAUUAAAAAAUAUUUUUAUCCC